CCUACGGGUGGCAGCAGUGGGGAAUAUUGCGCAAUGGGCGAAAGCCUGACGAAGCGACGCCGCGUGAGGGAUGAAGGUAUUCGGAUCGUAAACCUCUGUCAGCAGGGAAGAACGGUCAAUGUGCUAAUCAGCAGUGAAUAGACGGUAACUGCAAAGGAAGCACCGGCUAAGUCCGUGCGAGCAGACGCGGUAAUACGGAGGGUGCGAGCGUUAAUGGGAAUUACAGGGCGUAAAGCGCGCGUAGGCGGUACGUCAAGUCAAGGUUGAAAUACCCGCGAUCAACGUGGGAACUGCCUUUGAAACUGGCAAACUGGAGGUUGUCAGAGGACAGUGGAAUUCCAUGUGUAGGAGUGAAAUCCGUAGAUAUCUGGAGGAACAUCAGUGGCGAAGGCGACUAUCUGGCACGUAACUGACGCUGAGGAGCGAAAGCGUGGGUAGCAAACAGGAUUAGAUACCCCAGUAGUC
rnacentral:rRNA from 1 species